UGGGGAAUAUUGCACAAUGGGGGAAACCCUGAUGCAGCGACGCCGCGUGAGCGAUGAAGUAUUUCGGUAUGUAAAGCUCUAUCAGCAGGGAAGAUAAUGACGGUACCUGACUAAGAAGCUCCGGCUAAAUACGUGCCAGCAGCCGCGGUAAUACGUAUGGAGCAAGCGUUAUCCGGAUUUACUGGGUGUAAAGGGAGCGUAGGCGGUCCUGCAAGUCUGAUGUGAAAACCCGGGGCUCAACCCCGGGACUGCAUUGGAAACUGUAGGACUAGAGUGUCGGAGGGGUAAGUGGAAUUCCUAGUGUGGCGGUGAAAUGCGUAGAUAUUAGGAGGAACACCAGUGGCGAAGGCGGCUUACUGGACGACCACUGACGCUGAGGCUCGAAAGCGUGGGGAGCAAACAGG
rnacentral:rRNA from 1 species